rfam:Triticum aestivum genome assembly, contig: Triticum_aestivum_CS42_TGACv1_scaffold_251794_3DL
UUCAUACUCCCUCCGUCCAAAAUUAAUUGUCGCAGAAAUGGAUGUGUAUACAUAUAUUUUAGUUUUAGAUACAUCCAUUUUUAACCAUUUUUACGACAACUAAUUUGGGACGGAGGGUGUAUGCA